rnacentral:lncRNA from 1 species
AACUAGCUCAUAACCUUAUACUUCCCAUGAAUACCUCUAUGACAUCCCAAAAUUCAGACAGCAUCAUGUCGCAUAUAAAAGGAAAUAAUCACCUGUAUAAGCUCGAGCACGCAUAUAUAUGUAUAUACAAUACUUGGCCGUUGGAGCCAUCACGUCUAUUAACAAAACACCACCUUGACUGUACAUUAGGUCUACAAAGCCUCUAGACAAUACAAAUAGUUUAACUAAGGUCGGGACACACCCCGACAUAUAACUAACUUCUAUACAAUACUAAAAGUGACUAGAGAUAACACAAAAAGCCCCGAAGCAAACUGGAGCUCACCAAAAGCAGCUGGAUAUCCUGGCUCUUACUUGUGCGGUGUAUGAGCUAAGGUACCUUUUCCUACAGCUUGAAAUGCAGGUCCCCCAUGGGGGACGUCUGUACAAAAUAUGUACUGAGUAUGUAAAGCUAUAGAUAAUUACAUAUGAUAUAGGAG